GACGAACGCUGGCGGCGUGCUUAACACAUGCAAGUCGAGCGGCGCGGCGAACGGGUGAGUAACGCGUGAGUAACUGCCCCCCUCUCUGGGAUAACAGUUGGAACCGGCUGCUAAUACCGGAUAGUGGGGGAUGACUCGCGUCCUAUCAGCUUGUUGGUGGGGUAGUGGCCUACCAAGGCGACGACGGGUAGCCGGCCUGAGAGGGCGAACGGCCACAUUGGGCUGAGAUACGGACCAAACGCGUACGGGAGGCAGCAGUGGGGAAUAUUGCACAAGGGGGGAAACCGUGAGGAAGAAACGCCGGGGGCGGAAUGACGGCUUUGGGGGUGUAAACCGCUUUCGGCCAGGACGCGGUAGUGGCAGAAGAAGCACUGGCUAACUACGUGCCAGCAGCCGCGGUAAUUC
rnacentral:rRNA from 1 species